CUCGUUCUUAUACGAUCACUGAUGAUAAGCAAUAUUGAGCCUGGUCAGUACUUAGAUGAGUGACCACUUGGGAAUACCAGAUGCUGU